UGAGGAACAUGACCUUCGGCGGGGGAUAGCCGGCCCAACGGCCGGGUAAUACCGCGUACGACCUUUUGGGGACAUCCCCGAGGGGUGAAAGCAGCAAUGCGCCGAAAGAGUGCCUCGCGGCCUAUCAGCUAGUUGGUGGGGUAAUGGCUCACCAAGGCGACGACGGGUAGCUGGUCUGAGAGGAUGGCCAGCCACAUUGGGACUGAGACAUGGCCCAGACUCCUACGGGAGGCAGCAGG
rnacentral:rRNA from 1 species